AAUAAUUCGUUCGAGGUUCAACGAUGUAUUCCUGUAACUUUGCGAUGAACUUGGUAAAAACUUUACUUGUCAGCUGGUUGAUUUUUAUGCUCGUCGAAAAUGCUGUCUCAUCAAAGGAAGCUGUGUUGCACCGACUAGCUGAUACAGCCCCAUUGGCUGUGAUAAAAAAACACGACUCAUCCUUACAACUUGCAAUACCUCACGCAUACCAAUCAAUCAACCAUCUUUCUAGUUAUAAUUACGAUGAUUCUGAAGACAAAAAUGGCCCUAAAGAAAAAAUGAUGAUUGCGUGCCCUGCGUAUGGAAAAAAGCAAUUACAAGUGGAAACGAAUAGGAAAACUGGUGUUUUGACGACACACAAAGAAACGCUACUUUUUCUGCACGAGUACAAAGACCGACACAUACUCUGCAAUUCGCCAGAUUUCGUACCCUCUAUUAAUAAAGUUGAAGAAAAUAGUGACGACCACGUAAAGCAUUGCAACCAAUUGCACGCAGAUAUGUAUGAAGUCGGAUACCCAGUAAGUCUUCUACAGGAACACAACUGACGUUUUAACAACAGGUAUUAUUUACUUCUCUUUCUUCUUCUUAUUUUAGGUAUCAAACGACCAAGAGGGAAAUGUAAUUUAAUUUACAAUUAUUAUGAAAUAUUUUUUUUUCUUUUUGAAUUAAUGUACAUUAUACAUGGACGAACAUUUAUACAAUUUUUAUCAUCUCUU